GAGGUAAUGGCUCACCAAGGCAACGAUGCGUAGCCGACCUGAGAGGGUGAUCGGCCACACUGGGACUGAGACACGGCCCAGACUCCUACGGGAGGCAGCAGUAGGGAAUCUUCCGCAAUGGACGAAAGUCUGACGGAGCAACGCCGCGUGAGUGAUGAAGGUUUUCGGAUCGUAAAGCUCUGUUGUUAGGGAAGAACAAGUACCGUUCGAAUAGGGCGGUACCUUGACGGUACCUAACCAGAAAGCCACGGCUAACUACGUGCCAGCAGCCGCGGUAAUACGUAGGUGGCAAGCGUUGUCCGGAAUUAUUGGGCGUAAAGGGCUCGCAGGCGGUUUCUUAAGUCUGAUGUGAAAGCCCCCGGCUCAACCGGGGAGGGUCAUUGGAAACUGGGGAACUUGAGUGCAGAAGAGGAGAGUGGAAUUCCACGUGUAGCGGUGAAAUG
rnacentral:rRNA from 1 species